GAAGGAAGUUGCCUAUUUAUGAGACAAAGCAACAAGUGUUUUCCAUAGAAUUUUUUUAUCGCAACAGGCCGCACGUAGUCUUCAUAAUUCCAACAAAACGAAUUAAUCGCAAAGUACACACACACACACACACACUUGCAAACACUUAUUUGUGAAAUUGCCCGUAAUAUUGGGGAUGUUUUGUGAAAUUCGCUUGCAAGCAUGCCGUGAAGUGCAUUCUAUGUGUCGACCAUCACGUACACUUAAGCACUUACGCAUAUACGAAAAGUACACAAUGAGGCCAGUGACCACCCAAACAAUGGCUGCAACGUAUACAUGCAAUCUGCAAUGCACGCCUGCAGUUGACAAUGCGAAGUCAACGCCACAAAGUCCAUUGCAAUGACUUUGGCACAACACUUUUACUUGUUCGCCGUCUCACGCGGCGAGGUCAAUGAAAUCUGUGCCGAAUAUGCCGAAAUCGACAAUUCUAAAAGACAGACGGGUGUUACAUAACGCCAAUUAACAGCAGCGACAGUAGUGGCAGAUGCGUGAGUGGGUUAAAGUACUAUAUACAUAUGUAUGACGCGUCAAAUCGUAUCGAAGCGAAAUGAUCGAAACGAAAAAAUCGGAUUUGUUUACAUUCUGUGAACGGCAUGGUCAAAAUGGGACAGACAACGCGAUAGCCCUUCAAAGUCAGUUGGCGAGCACGAGUAACCAACCAAUGUAAUUAAUUUAAUCACAAUAACAACGCACAACAACAACAACAGCAAUAAUAACAAUAACAAUGAUAGUACCGAUUGGGCGUUCUUACGUGCUGGCAAGAAGCAGAGCACAAAGGAAAAAUAGAUCAACACAGCUGAUCGCUUUCCCUCGUUUAAUCACGUAGGCACUGCUCUGGCUCGGCAGUCGAGCAGGCGAGGCUAGUCAACCAAAACGAGCGCCAUCAAAAACAACAAUCUUAUCAGCGACACCCAAAGUUAAAACGAUUGAUGUCGCCAGCACCACCACCACCACCCUCGCCAAUGGAGCAAAGUGUGUAGGUA